rnacentral:rRNA from 1 species
GAAAGAUGGUUCUGCUAUCACUCUUGGAUGGACCUGCGGUGCAUUAGCUAGUUGGUAAGGUAACGGCUUACCAAGGCAAUGAUGCAUAGCCGAGUUGAGAGACUGAUCGGCCACAUUGGGACUGAGACACGGCCCAAACUCCUACGGGAGGCAGCAGUAGGGAAUCUUCCACAAUGGACGAAAGUCUGAUGGAGCAACGCCGCGUGAGUGAAGAAGGGUUUCGGCUCGUAAAGCUCUGUUGGUAGUGAAGAAAGAUAGAGGUAGUAACUGGCCUUUAUUUGACGGUAAUUACUUAGAAAGUCACGGCUAACUACGUGCCAGCAGCCGCGGUAAUACGUAGGUGGCAAGCGUUGUCCGGAUUUAUUGGGCGUAAAGCGAGUGCAGGCGGUUCAAUAAGUCUGAUGUGAAAGCCUUCGGCUCAACCGGAGAAUUGCAUCAGAAACUGUUGAACUUGAGUGCAGAAGAGGAGAGUGGAACUCCAUGUGUAGCGGUGGAAUGCGUAGAUAUAUGGAAGAACACCAGUGGCGAAGGCGGCUCUCUGGUCUGCAACUGACGCUGAGGCUCGAAAGCAUGGGUAGCGAACAGGAUUAGAUACCCUGGUAGUCCAUGCCGUAAACGAUGAGUGCUAAGUGUUGGGAGGUUUCCGCCUCUCAGUGCU